rnacentral:rRNA from 1 species
UGGCAGUCAGAGGCGAUGAAGGACGUGCUAAUCUGCGAUAAGCGUCGGUAAGGUGAUAUGAACCGUUAUAACCGGCGAUUUCCGAAUGGGGAAACCCAGUGUGAUUCGUCACACUAUCAUUAACUGAAUCCAUAGGUUAAUGAGGCGAACCGGGGGAACUGAAACAUCUAAGUACCCCGAGGAAAAGAAAUCAACCGAGAUUCCCCCAGUAGCGGCGAGCGAACGGGGAGCAGCCCAGAGCCUGAAUCAGUGUGUGUGUUAGUGGAAGCGUCUGGAAAGGCGUGCGAUACAGGGUGACAGCCCCGUACACAAAAAUGCACAUACUGUGAGCUCGAUGAGUAGGGCGGGACACGUGGUAUCCUGUCUGAAUAUGGGGGGACCAUCCUCCAAGGCUAAAUACUCCUGACUGACCGAUAGUGAACCAGUACCGUGAGGGAAAGGCGAAAAGAACCCCGGCGAGGGGAGUGAAAAAGAACCUGAAACCGUGUACGUACAAGCAGUGGGAGCACGCUUAGGCGUGUGACUGCGUACCUUUUGUAUAAUGGGUCAGCGACUUAUAUUCUGUAGCAAGGUUAACCGAAUAGGGGAGCCGAAGGGAAACCGAGUCUUAACUGGGCGUUAAGUUGCAGGGUAUAGACCCGAAACCCGGUGAUCUAGCCAUGGGCAGGUUGAAGGUUGGGUAACACUAACUGGAGGACCGAACCGACUAAUGUUGAAAAAUUAGCGGAUGACUUGUGGCUGGGGGUGAAAGGCCAAUCAAACCGGGAGAUAGCUGGUUCUCCCCGAAAGCUAUUUAGGUAGCGCCUCGUGAAUUCAUCUCCGGGGGUAGAGCACUGUUUCGGCAAGGGGGUCAUCCCGACUUACCAACCCGAUGCAAACUGCGAAUACCGGAGAAUGUUAUCACGGGAGACACACGGCGGGUGCUAACGUCCGUCGUGAAGAGGGAAACAACCCAGACCGCCAGCUAAGGUCCCAAAGUCAUGGUUAAGUGGGAAACGAUGUGGGAAGGCCCAGACAGCCAGGAUGUUGGCUUAGAAGCAGCCAUCAUUUAAAGAAAGCGUAAUAGCUCACUGGUCGAGUCGGCCUGCGCGGAAGAUGUAACGGGGCUAAACCAUGCACCGAAGCUGCGGCAGCGACGCUUAUGCGUUGUUGGGUAGGGGAGCGUUCUGUAAGCCUGUGAAGGUGUGCUGUGAGGUAUGCUGGAGGUAUCAGAAGUGCGAAUGCUGACAUAAGUAACGAUAAAGCGGGUGAAAAGCCCGCUCGCCGGAAGACCAAGGGUUCCUGUCCAACGUUAAUCGGGGCAGGGUGAGUCGACCCCUAAGGCGAGGCCGAAAGGCGUAGUCGAUGGGAAACAGGUUAAUAUUCCUGUACUUGGUGUUACUGCGAAGGGGGGACGGAGAAGGCUAUGUUGGCCGGGCGACGGUUGUCCCGGUUUAAGCGUGUAGGCUGGUUUUCCAGGCAAAUCCGGAAAAUCAAGGCCGAGGCGUGAUGACGAGGCACUACGGUGCUGAAGCAACAAAUGCCCUGCUUCCAGGAAAAGCCUCUAAGCAUCAGGUAACAUCAAAUCGUACCCCAAACCGACACAGGUGGUCAGGUAGAGAAUACCAAGGCGCUUGAGAGAACUCGGGUGAAGGAACUAGGCAAAAUGGUGCCGUAACUUCGGGAGAAGGCACGCUGAUACGUAGGUGAAGCGACUUGCUCGUGGAGCUGAAAUCAGUCGAAGAUACCAGCUGGCUGCAACUGUUUAUUAAAAACACAGCACUGUGCAAACACGAAAGUGGACGUAUACGGUGUGACGCCUGCCCGGUGCCGGAAGGUUAAUUGAUGGGGUUAGCGCAAGCGAAGCUCUUGAUCGAAGCCCCGGUAAACGGCGGCCGUAACUAUAACGGUCCUAAGGUAGCGAAAUUCCUUGUCGGGUAAGUUCCGACCUGCACGAAUGGCGUAAUGAUGGCCAGGCUGUCUCCACCCGAGACUCAGUGAAAUUGAACUCGCUGUGAAGAUGCAGUGUACCCGCGGCAAGACGGAAAGACCCCGUGAACCUUUACUAUAGCUUGACACUGAACAUUGAGCCUUGAUGUGUAGGAU